UUAAGAGCGUCUUGGAACACGCUGAUAUACAUCAUCAUACGGUAAGUAGCUCGAAAAAUUUUGGGCAUGCACAAUAUUUUUGACAUAUACCGGUGUAUGA